rnacentral:tRNA from 1 species
AAAGGGAGACCUAAUUCAGGUAGGAGACGAAAAAAAGUAGUCCCUACCAAGAAUCAAUCCCAAAAGGUCGGAGCGAGGCAAAAUUGGCUUUCAAACUAGGUUCUGGGUUCACAUAAGACCUGAAUCAGGAACAAGGGCUAUUAGCUCAGGUGGUUAGAGCGCACCCCUGAUAAGGGUGAGGUCCCUGGUUCGAGUCCAGGAUGGCCCACCUGCACAGGUGGCAAAAACAAAGAAAAAAAGCUCCGAAUCAGCACCUUAUCUUACUUAUACAGUAAGAGAGAAUGCUGGCUCUGAGUUCAGAGUCCAGAGGAACCUUGAAAACUGCAUAGAGCUAGGUGAAAAAGCCAAAAAAGAAGACCGCAAG